rnacentral:misc_RNA from 1 species
AAAUUUCUUUUUUUUUUUUAAUUGUUUUGUUCUUAGGGUAACUUUUGUGUGAAUAGAUGCAUAUCUGAAUUGUUUAGAUAUCCUGUAGUCGGUGAAUUUGAUUAGUUGACUUUGUUUUUGUGAUUGAUUGCAUCUUUAAUUAUGAAGUGUAUUUAGAGGAUAAUUUCUGCAGGGACUUUUCGGAUGUACAUAAACUCAUGAUCCUUAAUUUAUGUUUAGCAAUAUCCUGAUGUAAUUUUUGAUUUUGGUGGAGGAUCACCAUUUGUAUUGAGCUGUGGCCUAUAUGUAUUCAACCGUGUAAUAUUUUUUUUAUUCAAUGUUUGUCCCUUAAGCAGGCAUCUUCAAUUUCUUCUUCCUUUCUAUUUGAUUAGGCUUCUUUUUGAAAAUUUUAAGCCCUCAUAGAUUGUUUAAUUGCGAUUCCAUUUUUAUUUUAUUAACCUAGAUUCUCAGAAAGU